rnacentral:lncRNA from 1 species
UUUUUAGUCACUUUUGUAAACCUUUGCGCCUUGCAGCUGCAUGGUGAAGGUAAUUUAAUAUUAAGAAUCCGAUUUGGCGGCCUCUCGGCUGCACGGCGCAAAGGGGCCUUAAUUUGUUUGCCUAGUUUUUAUUCAACCGUCAAGUCAAGUAGGGCUUUGAUUUGUUCCUGUAAAUUAAUUUUAUAACAUUGUUUGGAAUAAUUGUCUACUUUUGCCCAUGGGAGUUUUGUAAAGUUUUGCAAAAUCGCCCUUCCACCCUGUUUUGCGGCCAGCCCAAUUUUGGGCUGGCAGCGUCCUGAAUUGUGAUCAUUUUCAUUUGGGAAUGAUCACUAUAUCUUAUGAAAGUGAGCGGCCAGGGCAGCUUCAGCCAGCAAACCUUUGACUGGUUUUGGUGAGCUGAGGUCGUUCCCUGAGCUGGCAACUAUCAAUUCUCAACUAUUCUUUUUUUGUAGCGGUCAAUCGGGUAAGUUUUGUUGUAACCAGUAAUUAAAAUGUAAUCGUUUGUUUUUCAGGGCGCGCAAAUCUGGCGUGUUUUUUCGUGGGCUUUUCGUCAAUGGAAAAACAUGCCAGCCCUCAAAUUGCUUGCAAGAGGGAGCUCUUACUAGAAACAGUUGGAGCAAAGCUAGAGGUCCUACUUCGAACUCUAUCUUUGCUCCAUUUGGGCUGCUCGAAUUCCUACUUUGAAUGCAGAGCAGUUCGGUGGUUUGACAUCUUGCAAGUAGCAGAAAACGAUCAGCUGUUGAUGAAGCUAUCGGGUGUUUUUUAUACUCCACAAUUUCUACUCAAUUAAACAAGAGCAACGUUUCAUUUUUAAGGGGUGCAGCUGAAUGGCUGGGUUUUUCUUGAUUUAUCGGUGAAGCCGUUGCCCUAAUAAUUGGUAAAAUUCUCAAUAUGGGGGUUUUUGCAUUUUUUGUUGUUUAAACUGAGCCAAAAAUUUCGAAAUCUUGGAAAAGAAGCAUUUAGUUAGACUAUGGGGUACGGCUUAAAGGUGUUUUUUGCACUGUUUGUUAGAUAAAUAUUGCUGUAAAUGCGGUGGAACUUUGUCUAUUCACGGCAGAACUGAAUUUGUAAUGCUUUGCGAGGAAAUAUAGCUCUGGGUUUGGGGGAUUUAUUGGCGGGAUAAUGAGAAUAGUAUGUAGUGGUUUCAAAAUGGGGCCCAAUUGGCUUUUUUUUUGUUUAAACUGACCGCCGCCAAAAGUUCCGAAAUCUUGGAAAAGAAGCAUUUAGUUAGACUAUGGGGUACGGCUUAUAGCUGUUUUUUGUACUGUUUGUUAGAUAAAUAUUGCUGUAAAUGCGGUGGAACUUUGUAUAUUCACGGCAGAACUGAAUUUGUAAUGCUUUGCGAGGAAAUAUAGCUCUGGGUUUGGGGGAUUUAUUGGCGGGAUAAUGAGAAUAGUGUGGAGUGGUUUCAAAAUGAGGCCCAAUUGGCUUCUUUUGUUUAAACUGAGCCGCCAAAAGUUUCGAAAUCUUGGAAAAGAAGCAUUUAGUGAAUAUGGGGUACGGCUUAAAGCUGUUUUUUGUACUGUUUGGAAGAUAAAUAUUGUAGAGUAUUGUAUAGAAAAUAGAGCUCUGGGUUUGGGGGGUUUAUUGGCGAGAGAAUGAGAAUAGUAUGGAGUGGUUUCAAAAUGGGGCCCAGUUGGCGAGCUGAUUUGAACGAUUUAUCGACUUGUUUUUAAGAUGUGGGGAACGUGUCUCAGGUGUACAAUCUUGCAUUACCGACUUAAUAAUUAUAGUUCUUUUUUUAAUAAUUGUCCGCUGAUCGAAACGGACUAUUUUUCCAAUUUAUUGUUUACACUCACCAAAUUUUACCUCAAUUUUGCAACUUCAAAUAAUUUAAAUGCCAUGUUGUCGGUUGCGCUCCUUCCUGUAAAGUGAAUUUAUAGACAAAAGUAUUUGCACUUACCUGAAGCUUGUAUACUAAUAACAAAGGUUUAAUGUAUCAACAAUGAAAAAUAAAGACUAACAGUGAUUUAACAAUGAUACGUGGAUGAACCGGCAUUAAUACUUUGUUGUGCAGCCAAAGCCGUUUCUGUCAAUCCAUUCCUCUGGCUCACAACUACUUAAUAUGUAUGAGGGAAAAUCUUUUAAACCAAUCUCUGACUUCAAUUUCAAAUCACGUUACUGCCGAAAGGAUAUGGCUAUAUUUUAGUUUUUCAACUUUCAAUCGACUUACAAGUGAACCUAGUACCUCACGCACUGCAGACACGAAUUAACUACCCAAAGGGAUGAUAAUUUUAAUAGCCACCCGCUUCCGAUACUAAUAGACUAUGUUUUCUUCCCCAAGUUUCCUCACCAACAUCCUUGCCUAUCAACCAUUCAUUGAACCUGUCUCCUGUUUGCCCAUCGAUGGGAUUAUAAUUUUUUUGUAAUUUCGUAAUAUUUGUUAUUUUUAUUGAAUAAUUUCAACACACAAUAGAGUAUUUACAUCUUUGUCGCACUCGUUCAAAGGGUUUGGAAUGCAAUGUGAUGUUUUACUGCCAGACAUUUGGGUUUAAACGCAAUUAAGAACCCUUUUAAAUUAAAUUAUAAUAAUAAGGGCCAGUUGGAUGGCUGUUUUUUUUCCUGUUUAAUAGACAAACUUAGGGUUUUUGGGGGUCAAUAGUCUCAAAAGGUGAUAGUUUAUUUAAUUGUUUUCUCAAUCUAAACAAAUCAGCCGCUGUUUUACCGUCUUCCAUCAACCGGACCAGACCCAGAGAGGUCCAACAGUUGACUGGUAGGAGGAGGUAACCGGUGCUGUGCAGACUAAGUUGAAAUUGACAUGUGAAAUAUAUUGAAUAAAGCUAGUGUUAGUGUAA